UAGGGAAGUACUUCGGCAAUGGGGCGAACCCUGACCGAGCAACGCCGCGUGAGUGAAGAAGGUUUUCGGAUCGUAAAGCUCUGUUGUAAGAGAAGAACGUGUGUGAGAGUGGAAAGUUCACACAGUGACGGUAACUUACCAGAAAGGGACGGCUAACUACGUGCCAG
rnacentral:rRNA from 1 species